rnacentral:lncRNA from 1 species
GAGCAAUCCAGCGACGGGACUUCCCAUAGGCUUCUAUGGCCACUCUCAGCGUUCCUUGUGAUUCCACUGAAACCACUUUCCUCGAUAGUUGAAGGUACUUCUCUGAUCCUCUAGGCAAUCCUUUACCACGGCGGUCAAGCAGCACAACUGGCCUGCAAAUGGUAUCAAUGACAUCUGCGGCAGAAGCAGGAGCCCAAAAGCAAAUAACCCGGCAUCCAUAUUUGAAAGGCCAACCCCCUUUGGUUACACGUAUACCCACGAUAGUAGCCUGGAGCGAUCUAUCAAGCUGCUCAAGUGUUACCUCGGCCGUACAACAGUCAGUGGAGAGCGAAAAGGUAGGUCCAUCACCACCAUAAAUCACGCUAGCGGAGGAAGAGGAAC